CCUACGGGUGGCAGCAGUGGGGAAUAUUGGACAAUGGGCGAAAGCCUGAUCCAGCCAUGCCGCGUGUGUGAAGAAGGCCUUCGGGUUGUAAAGCACUUUCAGUGGGGAAGAAAGCCUUGGGGCUAAUACCCUCGAGGAAGGACAUCACCCACAGAAGAAGCACCGGCUAACUCCGUGCCAGCAGCCGCGGUAAUACGGAGGGUGCGAGCGUUAAUCGGAAUUACUGGGCGUAAAGUGCGCGUAGGCGGUCUGAUAAGCCGGUUGUGAAAGCCCCGGGCUCAACCUGGGAACGGCAUCCGGAACUGUCAGGCUAGAGUGCAGGAGAGGAAGGUAGAAUUCCCGGUGUAGCGGUGAAAUGCGUAGAGAUCGGGAGGAAUACCAGUGGCGAAGGCGGCCUUCUGGACUGACACUGACGCUGAGGUGCGAAAGCGUGGGUAGCAAACAGGAUUAGAUACCCCUGUAGUC
rnacentral:rRNA from 1 species